UGACAUUGAUGCGAAUGAAGCCAUCCAUUC
rnacentral:piRNA from 1 species